rnacentral:tRNA from 1 species
CAUUAGAUGACUGAAAGUAAGUAUUGGUCUCUUAAACCAUUUAAUAGUAAUUAACAACUACUUCUAGUGA